rnacentral:rRNA from 1 species
AUUGAACGCUGGCGGCAGGCCUAACACAUGCAAGUCGAACGGUAACAGGAAACAGCUUGCUGUUUCGCUGACGAGUGGCGGACGGGUGAGUAAUGUCUGGGAAACUGCCUGAUGGAGGGGGAUAACUACUGGAAACGGUAGCUAAUACCGCAUAACGUCGCAAGACCAAAGAGGGGGACCUUCGGGCCUCUUGCCAUCGGAUGUGCCCAGAUGGGAUUAGCUAGUAGGUGGGGUAACGGCUCACCUAGGCGACGAUCCCUAGCUGGUCUGAGAGGAUGACCAGCCACACUGGAACUGAGACACGGUCCAGACUCCUACGGGAGGCAGCAGUGGGGAAUAUUGCACAAUGGGCGCAAGCCUGAUGCAGCCAUGCCGCGUGUAUGAAGAAGGCCUUCGGGUUGUAAAGUACUUUCAGCGGGGAGGAAGGGAGUAAAGUUAAUACCUUUGCUCAUUGACGUUACCCGCAGAAGAAGCACCGGCUAACUCCGUGCC